GAGGGCUGCAGAGAUGCUGAUUGACACUCUGGGGCCGGCCAUUGUCAACGCCACUGACACCAAGAACCGGACCCCCCCUGCAUGCGGCGGCUUUCACGGACCACGUGGAGUGUCUUCAGCUGCUGCUAGGCCACAACGCCCAGGUCAACUCCCCCGAUGCCUCCCGG